rnacentral:rRNA from 1 species
AUUGAACGCUGGCGGCAUGCCUUACACAUGCAAGUCGAACGGUAACAGGUCUUCGGAUGCUGACGAGUGGCGAACGGGUGAGUAAUACAUCGGAACGUGCCCAGACGUGGGGGAUAACGAGGCGAAAGCUUUGCUAAUACCGCAUACGAUCUAAGGAUGAAAGCAGGGGACCGCAAGGCCUUGCGCGUUUGGAGCGGCCGAUGGCAGAUUAGGUAGUUGGUGGGAUAAAAGCUUACCAAGCCGACGAUCUGUAGCUGGUCUGAGAGGACGACCAGCCACACUGGGACUGAGACACGGCCCAGACUCCUACGGGAGGCAGCAGUGGGGAAUUUUGGACAAUGGGCGAAAGCCUGAUCCAGCAAUGCCGCGUGCAGGAUGAAGGCCUUCGGGUUGUAAACUGCUUUUGUACGGAACGAAAAGGCUCUGGCUAAUACCUGGGGCACAUGACGGUACCGUAAGAAUAAGUACCGGCUAACUACGUG